UUUGAAAUAUCGGGUCUCCUACGAUCACCGAAGUUAAGCAAAGUUGAGCCUGCUCAAUACCUAGAUGGGUGACCGCUUGGGAA